rnacentral:rRNA from 1 species
UACGUAGGGGGGCUAGCGUUGUCCGGAAUCAUUGGGCGUAAAGCGCGCGUAGGCGGCCCGGUAAGUCCGCUGUAAAAGUCAAAGGCUCAACCUUUGAAUGUCAGUGGAUACUGCCGGGCUAGAGUCCGGAAGAGGCGAGUGGAACUCCUGGUGUAGCGGUGGAAUGCGCAGAUAUCAGGAAGAACACCGACGGCGAAGGCAGCUCGCUGGGACGGUACUGACGCUGAGACGCGAAAGCGUGGGGAGCAAACAGG